CUUCGGCGGGCCGUCCCGUCUUAAGGGCGCGGGCUGAUCCGCCGAGGCAACAUUUAUAGGUAUGUUCACAGGGGUCUGGGAGUAGUAAACUCGGUAAUGAUCCUUCCGUAGGGUGAACCUGCGGAGGGAUCAUUACCGAGUUUACAACUCCCAAACCCCUGUGAACAUACCUUUAAUUGUUGCCUCGGCGGAUCAGCCCGCGCCCCGUAAGACGGGACGGCCCGCCAGAGGACCCAAACUCUACUGUCUUUAUUGUAUCUUCUGAGUAAAAAACAAACAAAUAAAUCAAAACUUUCAACAACGGAUCUCUUGGUUCUGGCAUCGAUGAAGAACGCAGCAAAAUGCGAUAAGUAAUGUGAAUUGCAGAAUUCAGUGAAUCAUCGAAUCUUUGAACGCACAUUGCGCCCGCCAGUAUUCUGGCGGGCAUGCCUGUUCGAGCGUCAUUUCAACCCUCAAACCCCCGGGUUUGGUGUUGGGGAUCGGCGAGUCUGCAAGGACGAGCCGGCCCCGAAAUCUAGUGGCGGUCUCGCUGCAGCCUCCAUUGCGUAGUAGCUAACACCUCGCAACUGGAACGCGGCGCGGCCAAGCCGUUAAACCCCCCAAAUUUCUGAAUGUUGACCUCGGAUCAGGUAGGAAUACCCGCUGAACUUAAGCAUAUCAAUAGCCCGGAGGAA
rnacentral:rRNA from 1 species